UACGGGGGGGGCAAGCGUUGUUCGGAAUUACUGGGCGUAAAGGGCUCGUAGGCGGCCAACUAAGUCAGACGUGAAAUCCCUCGGCUUAACCGGGGAACUGCGUCUGAUACUGGAUGGCUUGAGUCCGGGAGAGGGAUGCGGAAUUCCAGGUGUAGCGGUGAAAUGCGUAGAUAUCUGGAGGAAUACCAGUGGCGAAGGCGGCACGCUGGGCCAUAACUGACGCUAAGACGCGAAAGCAUGGGUAGCGAACGGG
rnacentral:rRNA from 1 species